ensembl:misc_RNA 7SK 7SK RNA
GGAUGUGGGGGCCAUCUGGCUGGUUGGGGGGUGUCCCCUUCCUCCCUCACUGCUCCAUGUACCUCCCUCCUGAAGCUGUGUGCUUGGUCAAAGAGGACAACCUUCCCAAGAGAAGAGAAUCAGUCUCCAGUCAAGGGUGUAUGAGCAGCGGCGCUCCCUGGCUAGAAGCUCCAAACUAGAACACGGCUCUGAGACGGAGACUGGACAGAUGGAUGCAAACGGGUGUCAGGGGGCAAAGAUCAGAUUUUCCUUCUGCCUGACUGG